AUUGAACGCUGGCGGCAGGCCUAACACAUGCAAGUCGAGCGAGAGGCGGACGGGUGAGUAAUGUAUGGGGACUGCCCGAUAGAGGGGGAUAACUACUGGAAACGGUGGCUAAUAACGCAUCCUAUCGGAUCACCAAGAUGGGAUUAGCUAGUAGGUGGGGUAAAGGCUCACCUAGGCGACGAUCUCUAGCUGGUCUGAGAGGAUGAUCAGCAACACUGGGACUGAGACACGGCCCAGACUCCGACGGAGGCAGCAGUGGGGAAUAGUGCACAAUGUGCGCAAGCCUGAUGCAGCCAUGCCGCUUGUAUGAAGAAGGCCUUAGGGUUGUAAAGUACUUUCAGCGUGGAGGCGUUACCCGCAGAAGAAGCACCGGCUAACGCCGUGCCAGCAGCCGCGGUAAUUC
rnacentral:rRNA from 1 species